UGACGAGUGGCGGACGGGUGAGUAAUGUCUGGGAAACUGCCUGAUGGAGGGGGAUAACUACUGGAAACGGUGGCUAAUACCGCAUAACGUCGCAAGACCAAAGAGGGGGACCUUCGGGCCUCUUGCCAUCAGAUGUGCCCAGAUGGGAUUAGCUAGUUGGUGAGGUAACGGCUCACCAAGGCGACGAUCCCUAGCUGGUCUGAGAGGAUGACCAGCCACACUGGAACUGAGACACGGUCCAGACUCCUACGGGAGGCAGCAGUGGGGAAUAUUGCACAAUGGGCGCAAGCCUGAUGCAGCCAUGCCGCGUGUAUGAAGAAGGCCUUCGGGUUGUAAAGUACUUUCAGCGGGGAGGAAGGUGUUGUGGUUAAUAACCGCAGCAAUUGACGUUACCCGCAGAAGAAGCACCGGCUAACUCCGUGCCAGCAGCCGCGGUAAUACGGAGGGUGCAAGCGUUAAUCGGAAUUACUGGGCGUAAAGCGCACGCAGGCGGUCUGUCAAGUCGGAUGUGAAAUCCCCGGGCUCAACCUGGGAACUGCAUUCGAAACUGGCAGGCUUGAGUCUUGUAGAGGGGGGUAGAAUUCCAGGUGUAGCGGUGAAAUGCGUAGAGAUCUGGAGGAAUACCGGUGGCGAAGGCGGCCCCCUGGACAAAGACUGACGCUCAGGUGCGAAAGCGUGGGGAGCAAACAGGAUUAGAUACCCUGGUAGUCCACGCCGUAAACGAUGUCUACUUGGAGGUUGUGCCCUUGAGGCGUGGCUUCCGGAGCUAACGCGUUAAGUAGACCGCCUGGGGAGUACGGCCGCAAGGUUAAAACUCAAAUGAAUUGACGGGGGCCCGCACAAGCGGUGGAGCAUGUGGUUUAAUUCGAUGCAACGCGAAGAACCUUACCUGGUCUUGACAUCCACAGAAGAAUCCAGAGAUGGAUUGGUGCCUUCGGGAACUGUGAGACAGGUGCUGCAUGGCUGUCGUCAGCUCGUGUUGUGAAAUGUUGGGUUAAGUCCCGCAACGAGCGCAACCCUUAUCCUUUGUUGCCAGCGGUUAGGCCGGGAACUCAAAGGAGACUGCCAGUGAUAAACUGGAGGAAGGUGGGGAUGACGUCAAGUCAUCAUGGCCCUUACGACCAGGGCUACACACGUGCUACAAUGGCGCAUACAAAGAGAAGCGACCUCGCGAGAGCAAGCGGACCUCAUAAAGUGCGUCGUAGUCCGGAUUGGAGUCUGCAACUCGACUCCAUGAAGUCGGAAUCGCUAGUAAUCGUGGAUCAGAAUGCCACGGUGAAUACGUUCCCGGGCCUUGUACACACCGCCCGUCACACCAUGGGAGUGGGUUGCAAAAGAAGUAGGUAGCUUAACCUUCGGGAGGGCGCUUACCACUUUGUGAUUCAUGACUGGGGUGAAGUCGUAACAAGGUAACCGUAGGGGAACCUGCGGUUGGAUCACCUCCUUACCU
rnacentral:rRNA from 1 species